CGACAAUGGCCAUGGCAUUUAGGUAGAAAGUUGCUUAUAGAAGUAGAUUUUUGAAGUGAAGUUCCUCUUUUUGUACGGCUCUCAACGUCAAGAUGUGGCGUCUCCAACAUAUAAAGGAGCUCCAGUUUGAAUUUGGUUGAGAAUGGCAUGUUGGUAAGCAAGCAGAUUGAGAUAGUGACAUGUUUAGCAGCAGCGGUGUUGAGCUUAAAGAAAAAUGCUUAUAAAAAUUGAGAAAGCAGAGAGCAACACAAGAACAGAUUCUGAGUGGCAUGUUGGUAAGCAGACAGAUUGACAUGAGUGACAUGUUAAAAAGCAGUGUUUUCACUUCAUGAAAUAAUAAUUGGGAAAAUGGAUAACAAUUAAGGAAUACCAGAUUCUGAGAGCAACAUGUUGAUAAGUAGUGAUUGAGAACGUAAUGGAAAAUGUAGAAGAAUUUAGAAAGCUAAUAUCAGAUUCUUUCUGUUGAUUUAUUUGCAUAUUCCACCAGAUCAGCUAUCCUCAUUACCAGGCAGAGAAAUGAUGAAUAUUCAUUAAAAUCAACUUGAAACUGCAAAACUCAAGAAAACUACAGAAGUGACAUCAAGUCAAGAGCAACUUCUGAGAGGCAUAUAUAUCUUUCAGCAGGGCCAAGGGUGGUGGGUGGCGCGUAGGUUCCACGUGUGCCGAUCGCCUAUGAUAGGCGAUUGCUUCCGCUUGGAUAAUCCCAACUGUCUUUUUGCGCGAGACGCUGGCGAAAUUUUCCAAAAAAGUUUCGUUAACAUUUGUUGGAUUGUACAGUAAUGUGGUGUUUGAAAUACAGUACACUACAAAUGAAAUGUAGUACAAUAAAAA